rnacentral:rRNA from 1 species
UACGGAGGGAGCUAGCGUUGUUCGGAAUUACUGGGCGUAAAGCGCACGUAGGCGGCUUUGUAAGUUAGAGGUGAAAGCCCGGGGCUCAACCCCGGAAUUGCCUUUAAGACUGCAUCGCUUGAAUCCGGGAGAGGUGAGUGGAAUUCCGAGCGUAGAGGUGAAAUUCGUAGAUAUUCGGAAGAACACCAGUGGCGAAGGCGGCUCACUGGACCGGUAUUGACGCUGAGGUGCGAAAGCGUGGGGAGCAAACAGG